ACGGUCGCAAGGCUAUAACUCAAAGGAAUCGACGGGGGCCCGCACAAGCGGUGGAGCAUGUGGUUUAAUUCGACGCAACGCGAAGAACCGUACCUGGGCUCGACAUCCCAAGGAGUCCCUUGAAAGAGGGAUGUGCCCUUCGGGGAACUUGGUGACAGGUGCUGCAUGGCUGUCGUCAGCUCGUGUCGUGAGAUGUUGGGUUAAGUCCCGCAACGAGCGCAACCCUUGUCUUUAGUUGCCAUCAGUUCGGCUGGGCACUCUAGAGAUACUGCAUCGCGUCAACGGGGAGGCCCGUGGGGAUGACGUCAAGUCCUCACGGCCACUAUGCCCAGGGCUACACACGUGCUACAAUGGGCUGUACAAAGGGUAGCCAACUCGCGAGAGCAAGCCAAUCCCAAAAAACAGUCCUCAGUUCGGAUUGGAGUCUGCAAUUCGACUCCAUGAAGUUGGAAUCGCUAGUAAUCGUGGAUCAGCAUGCCACGCUGAAUUCGUUCCCGGGCCUUGUACACACCGCCCGUCACACCACGAGAGUUGACUGUACCAGAAGUUGCUUUAAACCCCGCAAGGGAGGUAGGC
rnacentral:rRNA from 1 species